UACGGAGGGUGCAAGCGUUAUCCGGAUUUACUGGGUGUAAAGGGUGCGCAGGCGGUUUUGUGAGUCAGUGGUGAAAUCUCUAGGCUUAACCUGGAAAUUGCCGUUGAUACUAUAUAUCUUGAAUGUUGUGGAGGUAAGCAGAAUAUGUCAUGUAGCGGUGAAAUGCUUAGAGAUGACAUAGAAUACCUAUUGCGAAGGCAGCUUACUACGCAGAUAUUGACGCUCAUGCACGAAAGCGUGGGGAUCAAACAGG
rnacentral:rRNA from 1 species